UUUCAUUAACUUUAUUUUGGAGAUUUUGAUCAUCAUUCAAAUCAUUUGACACUUUCUAAAUGCUAGUGCUUCCACCUUAGUACCGACCUGUUUGGUUAUAUUUACACUUGUUAUUGGACUGUCUGCAAUAACUUCAUAUUCUUUUCUUGUAGCAUUCUUUUCUUAUAUAUUAAAAUGAAAAAUACCAAAGUAAAUAAGCUAAUGUUUUGUAAAGAAUUUUGUGGUCAUAAACAAUCAUUUGAUGUCCUUGUUUCAGGGAGUAAUAUCAUAGACAGACACACAUAUUCAUAGUUAGGGGUGUUAACAAGCAGAUGCAAGACCGAGCCUUGCUCGGCUUGGCUCGAGAAGGGGAAUUAUCGAGCUCAGCUCGAGCUCGAAACGUGAAAAAUUCGGCUUGGUUCGAGAAAGUUCACGACAGUUCGGCUCGAAAAAGCUCAAGAAUAGUUUUUCAUUCAAUUUAAUUCACCCAUAUUAGAUAUCAAAGGAGGAACAAAUAAAAGGAAAAUGAAAAUAAAAAUAGAAAAGGAGGAGAGAAGUCAGACAUGAAAGGAUGAAAGAACGAAAAAGAUAAAUAAAAAAACGAAGAUUAGAGAUGAAAUUUGACUAAACAACAAAAUAGGGAGUGAAACUAACAAAGUGCAACUCGCUGGCAAAGAUUGAGAAAACGAAAAAAAACCCUGUCAUCUUACUUGCAAGUCUCAGCCUUCCCUCCGGUGUGAGAAAUAUCGAUUAGGGAUUUAGGGUUGAAGUUGUUGAAUUUGAAAUUCCUUAAACGGCUGAAAAAUUCUCAUUCUCUUCUCAUUAGUUAUUCCCAUUUGGUUUGUAUUUUUUAAAUGGGCUAGGAAGUGGAGUACAACUUAAUGUCCAAAAUAGUACUUUAAAAUUUAUCGAACAUGUUUGCGAGCUCUGCCGAGCCGAGCUAAACUCGAACUCAAAUGCGAGCCAUCUUGUGCUGAGCUUUGACCGAACUUUUCCCGAACUUUUACUGAGCCGAAUAUGAAUAGUUUGCGAGCCAUCCUGGCUUAUUAGCACCCCUAUUCAUAGUUUUAGCAUAUUUGAGUACGAAGAAAAUAAGAGCAUAACCUGUUUAUUCUUCUAAAGAGCUUCUAUUCGACUUAGAGGGAAGAUUUGAGGAAUCUAAGAAGAUGAUUCUAGUUCGGAGAUUUCAUUUAGAAAAUCCACCAAUAUAAACACACCGACAUAAGGUAAAGUUAGGGGUGUAUGUAACACCACGACAAUUUUCUCUUUUCUAAGUAUACCUUUAUAAUAUAAAAGUAGAGAACGUGUGAUGACGUAUCGGCUUAUUCAGAAUUUUGCAGCGGAAAAUAUAUAACUAAACAUUAACCUUUUAUUAUAAAUAAAUAAAUAAGCUCUACCCGGACUCGGCAAAUUUUGCCAUACACCGGUGUCGGUACGACACGACACUGAUACGAAAUACGUGUCGGAUCCGGCAAGGGUCACUCGGACACGGCGGCUCUAAACCCUAGAUUCUCAAACCCUAGAGUUUGAAGAGGAGAAGAGAAGAAAAGAAGAAGAGGAGAAGAGGAAAAGGCGAUAACUCACCUUGACUCGCCGACCGGAGCUUCAAACGCGCCAGAGCUUCGAACUCGCCGGUAAGUUUGUCUCUUCAGUCUUCACUUCUCUCCCUUCUCUUCUUCUCUCUCUCUUCGUGUUCUGUACUUCCGUCUCUUCAUAUCUUCAUCUUUUCUUUUUCUUUUUCUUUUUCUUUUUGUCACAAGUCCACGUGACUUUCUCCCUUUUCUUUUCUUUUCUUUUUUUUUGUUUCUUUUUUCUUUUCCUUCUCUCCUUUCCUACUUCUGCCCUACUUUCUUUUCUUAAAACAUUAUUUCUUCUUCUUAGUCAUAGGCUAAGUUGUUCUAUUAAAUUAAUAUAUUAUAAAUAGACAAUUAUAAAAUAUAAAUUAGCUAAUUAAUUAUUAAAUUUUAUAUUAUAAAAUAUUAUUUUCGCGUACCCGUACCCGUGUCCAAAUUUCGGACAGAGUCCCCGUGUCCUGAUUUUUUGGAAUUGCCGUACCCGACACUCAGAUCCGUAUCCAUAUCCGACACUCCUAGCCGAGUCCAGGUAACAUAGUAAAUAAGUAUUUAGAAAUCAACAAAUCUAAUUGAGUCUUAUGCAAACAAACUUAAUAAUUAACGUUCCUACUAAUGCAGAAAAUAAAAUAUACUAGUUACACAUUCUCUCCAUUCCAGAUUCUCAAUGAUGCACAUCUGCGAACCUGUAAUGUCAAUUUUUGACCGAAUCUACUCACCAAAUUUGGUCAUCACAGGAUCAAUAAGGUAAAACCAUGAUCACAAACACAAACAAAGCACGUAAUCAACAAAGCUGAGUACUACAUACUAAAAGAUAAACAUUCCUCACAUGAUACUAAGUAAAUAACAUGCAAUAAUUAAUAAUAAUAUAAUCAUAUAACAUGCUGCAGAUAAUUUUAACUGAACUAAACUCUAAACAUCCUUUUAAUAAUCAAAUGGAAUAGUUAUUGGACCUAAGUUGUCUUAUCUACUAAUGCCUUCACCUAGGAAGACGAAGUACCGGUGCUACUAGACACUACAACAUUUUAGAUUGACCUGCGAUAUCGAGGAACUUUUGCUAAAUAUAAAUAGGGAUGGUGAUCAAUCCAUCUCUCAGAAAAAACCAUGGGCUACUACCAUGUACUCCAACUCCUAAUGUCCAACUCUAGACGUGCACCAGUUUAAAGUCUAUAAAUAUCCUCGUUACACUUUACGUUCUUUACUAGUUAUUACUUGUUAUGACACACAUACAAGCAACAUAGAACUACAAAGCAAACAUGCAACUUCUUUUAUCUUAGGAUUUAAUAAGUGAUCACAACUUACAACCCAAAAUUUACUUUCUUUUAAUCUCAGACUUUCUUAUUUGUUGAACCUAGUCAACAAUCAAACUUACCUUUAAAAAGGCAUAACUUACCAACUUACCAAAUAAGGCCCACAGUCCUCAGGGGCGAGGCAAACAUAGCGGGGACCCUAUACGCUCUUUUAAAAUUAGGCCUUUCAUAUUUAGUUCAUAAAAGAUAUUAGAAUCUCAAUUUAAAAAAAAUACUCUCAACAUAUCAAAUAAUUAUAAAUAAACAAAUAUUUAGAUAUAAAUAGAGUAAAUUUUAUUGGAAAUCGCAAAAAAAAA